AUUGUGUCUCCUUAUAAUUAUAGUUUUACAAAAUUGAAAAACAAAUAUGAGUAAACAUAUCUUAAGGAUUAAUGUAAUGGGAAAGACCAAGAGGAAACAAGAUAGUGAUGAUAUAUAAUUUUAGGCUAAAGGCCUUAUGCUGAAAUGGAAAGAAGAGCAAGAAAGGGAUGCCAGUGGAGACAUUAGCAAACGAGGACCUCUGCCUGAAAGCUGAACACAAGAGUAGUCGGAAAUGGUGGAUCCUGCCAAUUGAAAUGGUUUUACAUGCUUGAUUUGGCAUUCAGUAGUAUCUGGAUAUCCAAACGGUGUGGACUUACACAUUUCCUUGUGAAAAAGGAUUGCACUGGAAAUCAGAUUUUGAAUAAUCAUCUACUUGACUGGACAAUUUUAUUUACCCAGAGAGCAUUCCUGACAAACAAAUUUAUUUUCUGCUGCAAAAAAAAAUCACCAUUAAUCCCAUCUGUCUGGGAAAAUACCUGUACAGGUCUGGUUUGGAAGAUACAUUUUGAAGUCAGUUUGGGCCUUGUCUGUAAGAUAAAUGUAUAGUUGAAAAUGACAGCGUUUGACUAGUGUAGUUGGGAUAAACCAGGCUAACGAAAUUCUACGAAGCUGGAGUAACUAGAGGCUAACCAAACAAAAUGGCGCAUUUUUCAAAGGAUUCAGGGAAACUCAAACUAUUUGUCAUUCUGUUUGUUGUGGUUACACAUGCCUCUUAUGGAAUCACAUUAAAUAAAGAUGUCUUCAGUCAUCCAUAAAAGAAGUGGAGUGCCUGAAGACAGACGAUCAGUAUCUGUUAGAUUUCCUUUUAACCCAAGAAUAGGCCUACAGUACAUUUUACUACACAAAAUGCCUACAGUGUUAAGCCUUCAGUAUAAAGUGAUAGAAUACAGUCUACAGGUAAUCCUCUAUGGUUUCCGAUAUUAUUAAUUAUUUUGGAAUAUUUUAGAUUAAUUAAUUGAUGGAUUAAUUAAUUAAAC